rnacentral:rRNA from 1 species
CUUGGGUCAUUUAGAGGAAGUAAAAGUCGUAACAAGGUUUCCGUAGGUGAACCUGCGGAAGGAUCAUUAAAGAAUUGCCCCAUUUUUUGAAAUGGGUUCUAUUCCCAAACCGUGUAUACAUACCUUUGUUGCUUUGGCAAGCCGUCCUUCGGGCGCAGCUUCGGCUGAGAGCGCUUGCCAGAGGACCCCAACUCUUUUGUUUAGUGAUGUCUGAGUACUAUAUAAUAGUUAAAACUUUCAACAACGGAUCUCUUGGUUCUGGCAUCGAUGAAGAACGCAGCGAAAUGCGAUAAGUAAUGUGAAUUGCAGAAUUCAGUGAAUCAUCGAAUCUUCGAACGCACAUUGCGCCCCUUGGUAUUCCGAGGGGCAUGCCUGUUCGAGCGUCAUUAUGACCACUCAAGCCUAGCUUGGUAUUGGGGUUCGCGGUCUCGCGGCUCUUGAAAUCAGUGGCGGUGCCAUCUGGCUCUAAGCGUAGUAAUUCUCUCGCUAUAGGGCUCCGGUAGUUGCUUGCCAAAACCCCCCUAUUUCUCACGGUUGACCUCGGAUCAGGUAGGGAUACCCGCUGAACUUAAGCAUAUCAAUAAGCGGAGGA